AACUCUCAACGACGGAUGUCUAGGCUCCCGCAUCGAUGAAGAACGCAGCGAACCGCGAUACGUAGUGUGAAUUGCAGAGCCCGCGAAUCAUCGAAUCUUUGAACGCACAUUGCGCCCCGGGCUUCGGCUCUGGGCAUGUCUGCCUCAGUGUC
rnacentral:rRNA from 3 species